AGUGCGGGGCUUAACCGAAUUUUGUUUUUUUCCCGGAUUUUCCCCGAAAAGAAGGGGGAAGGGGGGUAACCGGGGUACCGCCCUAGAAGGGGAAAACUGGAAACGGGGUUAAUCCGUUAACAUUGAACCGCAUGUUUGAUUGAAGGCCUUUGGGUUGGUGAGGAGGACCCGCGGGCCUUAGCUAGUGGUGAGUAAGGCUCACCAGGCUACGAUGCAUAGCCGACUGAGAGGUGAUCGCCACAUGGGAAUGAGACACGGCCCAAAUUCCUACGGAGGCAGCAGUAGGAAUUUUCGGCAAUGGACGAAAGUCUGACCGAGCAACGCCGCCUGAGUGAAGAAGGUUUUCGGAUCGUAAAACUCUGUUGUUAGAGAAGAACAAGGAUGAGAGUAACUGUUCAUCCCUUGACGGUAUCUAACCAGAAAGCCACGGCUAAUUACGUGCCAGCAGCCGCGGUAAUACGUAGGUGGCAAGCGUUGUCCGGAUUUAUUGGGCGUAAAGCGAGCGCAGGCGGUUUCUUAAGUCUGAUGUGAAAGCCCCCGGCUCAACCGGGGAGGGUCAUUGGAAACUGGGAGACUUGAGUGCAGAAGAGGAGAGUGGAAUUCCAUGUGUAGCGGUGAAAUGCGUAGAUAUAUGGAGGAACACCAGUGGCGAAGGCGGCUCUCUGGUCUGUAACUGACGCUGAGGCUCGAAAGCGUGGGGAGCAAACAGGAUUAGAUACCCUGGUAGUCCACGCCGUAAACGAUGAGUGCUAAGUGUUGGAGGGUUUCCGCCCUUCAGUGCUGCAGCUAACGCAUUAAGCACUCCGCCUGGGGAGUACGACCGCAAGGUUGAAACUCAAAGGAAUUGACGGGGGCCCGCACAAGCGGUGGAGCAUGUGGUUUAAUUCGAAGCAACGCGAAGAACCUUACCAGGUCUUGACAUCCUUUGACCACUCUAGAGAUAGAGCUUCCCCUUCGGGGGCAAAGUGACAGGUGGUGCAUGGUUGUCGUCAGCUCGUGUCGUGAGAUGUUGGGUUAAGUCCCGCAACGAGCGCAACCCUUAUUGUUAGUUGCCAUCAUUUAGUUGGGCACUCUAGCAAGACUGCCGGUGACAAACCGGAGGAAGGUGGGGAUGACGUCAAAUCAUCAUGCCCCUUAUGACCUGGGCUACACACGUGCUACAAUGGGAAGUACAACGAGUCGCGAAGUCGCGAGGCUAAGCUAAUCUCUUAAAGCUUCUCUCAGUUCGGAUUGUAGGCUGCAACUCGCCUACAUGAAGCCGGAAUCGCUAGUAAUCGCGGAUCAGCACGCCGCGGUGAAUACGUUCCCGGGCCUUGUACACACCGCCCGUCACACCACGAGAGUUUGUAACACCCGAAGUCGGUGAGGUAACCUUUUGGAGCCAGCCGCCUAAGGGGAAA
rnacentral:rRNA from 1 species